rnacentral:lncRNA from 1 species
UCAAAGAUGUCUAGCCCAUUAGACUUCAUAACACACACAAAAUGUAGGACUAAUAAGUGUUGGACAUCAUCCUAAGGUAAGAUAAACCUAGUGCCCAAAAUAAGCCUAAAAAUGGUUUCUUCCACAUGUAGGACUUCAUAUGCUUCAAGUCUCUUCUUCCAUGCUUUUCCAUGACUUAGCCUAAUAUUCCUAGGGUUCUUUAGCUGAUUUUUCAAUUCCAAAUAAAGGCUCAAUUAAGGUCUAAAUGAAAGCUCACUUAUGCCUCUACGAAAUGUUAAAAGAAAUAUAAAGAAAAAUACACCUAUAUAUUUUGUACAAGACUAAGAAAAAAGAAGAAAAACUUAAUAUUCUAGUAUUCAAAUGUAGAGUCUUCUUCCCUUAGGUUUCAUCUUGUUCUAUUUUCUCAGCCAAUGAUUUUUAAGUUGGAUGAUUUCCAUUACCUCUUUUUAUUCUUGAGUUGAUUGAAAAUUAUUAACUAUUUCAUGGUUGCUUGAGACUUCACUUCUUCUUAAGCUAACAUUUUAUAUGUUAUUGAAGAAUAGUUGAAGCAACUCUUUUGUUGAAAACACUUGGAUUCCAUCAAACACUUGGAUUCUUGCAGGUCACCCACCCAUCCUCAGUGGUAAAGUUAUCCCUUCCUAUAUUAAUAAAAAAAAAUUGCCAAAUAAGUUAAUUAUGAAGAAAAAGCGAUUGAAAGAGAGAAAAAAAAAUCCCAAAUAGGAUUAAUCAUUUCGUCUUUUCUAAUAUUUUCCUGCUAAUGAAAAUUUGCCAGUAAGAAGAUACACUAAAUCAUUACUCUAGUCUCUACUGUAGCGGUAACGCAUGUUGAAAUACCAAUCUAAUAUUCCAAAAGUUAUUUAAGGAAUAGGUAUAUCUGGCGCUUGAAGAUGAUAGAAAAGCAUGAUUACUUUACUUGAAAAAAAUUCACACCUUCUGAAGAUGCAUUGCUUAAUAGUCUCCCUCCUUGAGUGAGUCUUCCAUUUGCCUAAGAUGUUCUGAGUUAUUGAUCAUAUCUGGAUUACUCCAAUAACUGAAAAAAUGCAAAAAAAAAGUAUUCAGAAGUGCAUCAACCCAUGUGCUUGCAUUUGAAUUUUAUCUGGGUUAUGACUGUGUUGGAAUUAUGGUAAAGAGAAAAUUCGUGGUGGAAAAGUAGGAAAAAAUGCACAGGAAUUGUUCAAAUAUGCUAUAAAGCAAAUCCCUGUCUAAUCGCGAAGGGAACUGUUUAAUGUUUAUACAAUACUGAAAAUUUGGACAUCUAAGAAAAGUCAACUAAACUAAACUAGUCUAUGAAUCAAAAACCUAUGAAAAAGUGGGAAAAGAAGUAGAACUUCCACAUUUUUUCCAAGGUGCAAAAGAACAAUCAUUUAGACAAAUUUUGCUGGUUAAGAAGACCAGCCAUAAAAUGAAAAAUUGAAACCAGUUGAAUCAUGUAGAUAAAUUGAAAAGUUUAGAAGGAACAAGGUCAUGAGGCCUAAAUUGCUUAGAAGGAACAAUUUUCUCUGCCACAUGCUAUACAACUAUUUAAACUCAUGCUUGCCUGAUUGUAAGUGAACUCAUCACUUGGCUUCUGAAUACAGCAUGUUCUAAAAUCAUGAGAAACUACAUUGCAAGAGUAAUAAAAGAGAUGUUUCUCUGGCAACUCCAAAAGAUACUAACUUCACUGCGGUUGUUCAUUUGUGUCAUGAGUAUAUAAAAGCUGUAUUGAGAGU